rnacentral:rRNA from 1 species
AUUGAACGCUGGCGGCAGGCCUAACACAUGCAAGUCGAGCGGAUGACGGGAGCUUGCUCCUUGAUUCAGCGGCGGACGGGUGAGUAAUGCCUAGGAAUCUGCCUGGUAGUGGGGGACAACGUUUCGAAAGGAACGCUAAUACCGCAUACGUCCUACGGGAGAAAGCAGGGGACCUUCGGGCCUUGCGCUAUCAGAUGAGCCUAGGUCGGAUUAGCUUGUUGGUGAGGUAAUGGCUCACCAAGGCGACGAUCCGUAACUGGUCUGAGAGGAUGAUCAGUCACACUGGAACUGAGACACGGUCCAGACUCCUACGGGAGGCAGCAGUGGGGAAUAUUGGACAAUGGGCGAAGGCCUGAUCCAGCCAUGCCGCGUGUGUGAAGAAGGUCUUCGGAUUGUAAAGCACUUUAAGUUGGGAGGAAGGGUUGUAGAUUAAUACUCUGCAAUUUUGACGUUACCGACAGAAUAAGCACCGGCUAACUCUGUG